AACCGCACGCAAACCCUCUAACAACCCCUUUGCAGGUAAUCCCCACUCUUCAGCUCUCUUCUAUAAAUGGUUUCCUCUCAGUGCAUGUAGAUUACAGGGCAGCAGCUCUCAGCAGAUACCAACAUGGCCCCAAAGACAGUAGCAGUUCCUCCAGAAUCUAUUUUCAAAAAACUCGGCACCUAUAUUACAAUCAUAGUGAUCUUUGUUUACAAUAAUGUGCUUGGAAAAGAUUUGGAGUGUGCUUGUAACAAGCAAAAACAAACUCUUUACUGCUGGUUGUACAUGAUUCUGCCAUUUUAUGUUUUAUUUGUUUUAAAGCUCUGGACUGACAGGACAUUUCAGAAAAUCUGGAGAUAUGCAUGCACCAGUCAAUGCUGCAACAAGUUCUGCAGAUAUAUCUGUGUUUUACUUUAUCACAUAAUCAAGGCAGCUUUCAUAGGUUCGCUGUGGGUUGUUUCUUUGCUUGUCGAUGGCCAUUGGUAUGUUUGCUGCUUCAAUGAUAAGUCAGAAGAAUAUCCACAGUUAGCCUGCAAAGACAAGAACAGAACAGCUGAGGAACAACAAACCAUCGCUAGACUGAAGAACAAGUCCUGGGUUUUUGGCGUCUCUAUACUCCUCUGUUCCCUCUUUGUGGCUGCUGUAACGGCAGGUGGAUUGAGGAGAUGUUGCAACAAAAAAGUUCUGUAUUACAAACUGAUUUUGAAGGAGGAGGAAAAGGCACUGAAAGAUCAUUUGAGAUCAAAAGCAACUGAAAAGCUGACUGAAAAGUUCUGCAAAAAUAGUGACAAAAAUUGGAAAGAAUGUUUUGGUGCUGCUGAUAAGCUGAUUAAAGAAGUUGUAAAGGCAGAAAACCAGACACAAUCUGCAGCCACCGGGAAUACUGAUGAAGAUUUAGAAAUGCAGGCCCUAUCAACAUAAUGAGCCGAGGACAUCAAAUACUGUGCAGUAACAAGCAGCAUUUGAUAGUUUCAUUUCCACAACAUACUGUUGAGAAAUGUUGGAUGACUAUAAUUCACCUGUACAUAUAUGAAGCUUUAAUCUGUAAUGAUGCUGUUUCUCAUUGGACACUGACUGUGGAAAAUUACCAGUUUAAAGAAAUGUUUCCAUCCUGGUUCAUGUUUUCAUGACCUUCAGCUCCCAGUUUUCUACCAGUCAGUUUAAUGCUGUGAAUAAAGGCUUAAUGUUCAUCAUAUUAUCAUCCAACAAUGAAAAGCUCUGAAGCUCUCUGUGAUAACUUGGUACAACAGCAACUCUGUGAACAGGAAGGUGAGAAUCUGCAGCUGUCAGUGUCUGAACAGUGAGCGCUCCCUGCUGUUUAAAAAUCUUCAUCACAGGUGAAGAACUGUCCAGGAAUUUUAAGUUAAAUGCUGUAAUACAUUUUAUAGUGGGCACAACUACACUGGUAAAAAUUCAAAGUUGAUAUUUCUACCAUUACGUUUUUUUACCAUUACAUUACAAGAGUUUUAUUGAUGUUGUUUGCAAACUGAUCCAUAAAUAUUACAGAGUGAAAAAACCAUGAGCUGUGUGUUUUUAGCUUGAGGAACUUGAAGAACUCUUUUUAAUUUCUAUUGUAAUGAUUUUAAAACUUUGUCUUAUGUUACUUUUACAUUUACUUUACAUUUUUAUUCUAUACUUUUACAUUUUAUCUAAUAUUAUAUGUAAAGUGUGUUACACCAAUAAACUCACCUUGAUUUUAA